rnacentral:rRNA from 1 species
ACCUCCACUCAGGCAAGAAUACCUGCUGAACUUAAGCAUAUCAGUAAGCAGAGGAAAAGAAAACAACUGUGAUUCCCUUAGUAACUGCGAGUGAAGCGGGAAAAGCCCAUCGUUAAUCUCCCUGGACUGUGCGCCAGGGCGAAAUGUACGGUAUGGAUAGGUUCUCUACCAACAAAGUCUGAUCAAAGUCCUCCGGAUUGAGGUGCCAGAGAGGGUGACAGCCCCGUAUAUGAUUGGACCGAGUUGGGUAUGUGACCAAUUCUGAGAGUCGGGUUGUUUGGGAUUGCAACCUAAAGCAGGUGGUAAACUCCACCCAAGGCUAAAUAUUGACACGAAACCGAUAGCGAACAAGUACUGUGAAGGAAAGUUGAAAAGAACUCUGAAAAGAGAGUUAAAAGUACGUGAAACCGCUAACGGGGAAGCGGAAGGCAGUGUCGAGAUCGAGUGAGUUGCCGUCCGUUAGCCAUUCAAUUUGCAAUGGAUGACUACGGGCGGUAUGCUUUGCUUGAUGCGUCAGACCUAUUGGUGUGCGGUGGCUCAACGCUUGACAUGGCUCCGGCGACACUUGGGCUUCUCAGCUCAAGCUCGCAGUUGCGGUCAAGUGUCCGCCUCGUGUGCUGAUAUGUAUGUGAUGGAGCGCCGGUGAUGGUGAAAUGAGUCGGUCGGUUGGUGCAAUGUGGCGUUUCAUGUUGGUCACUGUGUGGCUACAUAUGGAAAAGUCAUGUUGUGGAUCAACAACCGGUGCUAGUAUCUGACGUGAUACCUAACUUUCCGACCCGUCUUGAAACACGGACCAAGGAGGCAGAAUCUAGAGCGAGUUGGAGGGUGGUAAACCCGACGGCGUAGUGAAAGCGAGAGAUGAGAUCUGGGGGCCACGGCCCCUGGCGCAUCAUCGGCCAGUCACAAAAAUGUGAUUGAGUUUGAGCUGUAGAUGCUGGACCCGAAAGAUGGUGAACUAUGCGUGAGCAGGGCGAAGCCAGAGGAAACUCUGGUGGAGGCUCGAAGCGAUUCUGACGUGCAAAUCGAUCGUUUGACUUGCGUAUAGGGGCGAUAGACUAAUCGAACCAUCUAGUAGCUGGUUCCCUUCGAAAUAUCCCUCAGGAUCGCUGAGACAAGUGGGAAACAGUUUCAUCGGGUAGAGCGAAUGAUUAGAGGAAUCGGGGAUAUAUUACUCUCGACCUAUUCUCAAACUUCCAACCGGUGAGGGUGUCGUUUACUUGAUUGAAUUUAUUUCUGAAACGGCACGGUGAAUGUUUUUGUCUCAAGUGGGCCAUUUUUGGUAAGCAGAACUGGCGAUGCGGGAUGAACCGAGAGUUGAGCUAAGGUGCCUAAGGACACGUUGAUAGAUACCACAAAAGGAGUCGGUCGAUAAAGACAGCAGGGCGGUGGCCCUGAAAGUAGGAAUCCGCUAAGGAGUUGUCUAAAAACUCACCUGCCGAAUCGACCGGCCCUGAAAAUGGAUGGCGCUGAAGCGUGUCACCGAUGCUCGACCUCUACCACGAGAGAUGUUGGUAGAGGGUAGGAGGGCGCGGCGGUAGCGAUAAAGUACAAAGUGUAAACUUGUAUGGAGCUGCCGUCGGUGUAGAUCUUGGUGGUAGUAGCAAUUAUAAAAGUGAAAACCUUUUAGGCCGAAGUGGAGAAGGGUUCCACGUGAACAGCAGUUGGACGUGGGUUAGUCGGUCCUAAGCGGUUGCCUAACGGCUAUUUCAAAGCCAACUUAUAGUCGAAAGACGCGAGUGUAGGUUGGAAUCCGCGAAAGGGAAUCAGGUUAAUAUUCCUGAACCGGGCGAUGGAGACGCUGCUUCUACAAAAGCUUUGGCUUAUUAUUAUUAUAUGCCAGGAGUGGAAGUGGGGGUAGCUUAGCGGUAACGCAAGCAAUCUCGGAGACGUUGACAUUUAUGGCGGGGAGAAUUAUCUUUUCUGCAUAACAGGUAAACCACCUUGGAAUCGAGUCAUUCGGAGAUAAGGUAUAAAGCCUGGAAGAGCACCGCAACUUGUGCAGUGUCCGCAUUAUAAGUGUCGGCCCUUGAAAAUCCGAGGGAGUGGUUAAAUUUCAUGCCCGUCCGUACCGAAUCCGCAUCAGGUCUCCAAGGUGAGCAGCCUCUGGCACUGGAACAAUGUAGGUAAGGGAAGUCGGCAAAAUAGAUCCGUAACUUUGGGAAAAGGAUUGGCUCUAAGGGCCGGGCCAUUGGAGCUAGUAUUACCUAGGCUAGUGGGUGUGCUGUUGGGUGUGUUCGUUCGAUCGCCACAUUUGGUCUUGGUGGAUAUGCUUGGCAGUGCGCACGCUGGCUGUGGAAUACCCGCGUGAAUUUCGGUUUGCCGAUGCGGCCGUGUGUGUGUGGAUGCUCUUUAGUGGGCGUGUAUGUGUGUGCGGUUUGGUUGGUGAAUGGAGUUUUUUACUGAUGGCAAGCAUCGGCCAGCUUAGAACUGUUACUAACUUGGGGAAUCCGACUGUUUAAUUAAAACAAAGCAUUGCGAUGGCCGGAAACGGUGUUGACGC